rnacentral:rRNA from 1 species
AGCAGCCGCGGUAAUUCCAGCUCCAAUAGCGUAUAUUAAAGUUGUUGCAGUUAAAAAGCUCGUAGUUGAAUUUCGGGAUCAAUAUGUUGGUCGUGCCUCGGUACGUACUAGCAUAUUGGUUUCUCCUUUCUGAAGAACCAUGAUGUCAUUUAUUUGGUGUCGUGGGGAAUCAGGACUGUUACUUUGAAAAAAUUAGAGUGUUUAAAGCAGGCUCACGCUUGAAUACAUUAGCAUGGAAUAAUGAAAUAGGACGUUUGAUUCUAUUUUGUUGGUUUCUAGGAUCGACGUAAUGAUUAAUAGGGAUAGUUGGGGGCAUUAGUAUUCAAUUGUCAGAGGUGAAAUUCUUGGAUUUAUUGAAGACUAACUACUGCGAAAGCAUUUGCCAAGGAUGUUUUCAUUAAUCAAGAACGAAAGUUAGGGGAUCGAAGACGAUCAGAUACCGUCGUAGUCUUAACCAUAAACUAUGCCGACUAGGGAUCGGACGAAGUUAAUUUUAUAAUGACUCGUUCGGCACCUUACG